GAGAAUAUUAUAAAUUAACAUUUUAGAAAGUUAACUAUUUUAACUAAUUAAAUAAAUUAAAAUAUAAUUUCUGGAUUUUUUUCGUAUCAUGGGAUGACAAAAAAUAAGUUUUGGGUUUUGGGGAUGGUCUUAGCCUAAAACAUUGAAAGCUAAGAUGAGCUAAGCCCGAAAGGUCCGAUUUUUUGAACUUAUAUAAUUAAGCCCAAUCCCGAUAAUUUAUAGAGUUGAACAGACUCGGCUGCGGGUUUUGGCCCUAAUUAACAUGUCUUCUUUUUUUUUUUUUUUUUUUUUUUUGUUCAAUGCCCUAAUUAACAUGUCUAAUCCAUCAUAUCAGUGGUCAAGUAUGUAAUGUUAAUAAUCUUUAUAGACAGAUGAUAUUAUUUAUCUCAGUUUCUGUCACAUGGUUUUAAGAGUUUGCCUUCUUAUAGUGAUUGCAAUCUGAUAAGGGUGAAAAGUGAAAACGCUAGGAACUCAACUGUGGUUUGGUAGAUAGUCUUUAAUAUUUCACGAGCCCUUUGAUUCUCAUUCUGGUCACCACACGUAGUUAUGAAUUUACUUGCAUGUUUGUACAAUAUAAACCGAUAAACUAAGGAAGAAUCAAGAUGAGAGGACCAUAUAAGAUCCAAG
rnacentral:lncRNA from 1 species